ACCUCUCGGGCGGGCUCUCCUUGGCCGUGACGGGCUCGACGGCGGCGAGCUUGGCGAGCGGGAUCAUGACCUUGUAGUAGCUCCAGGCGGUCUGGCCGGACGGCGCGGCGAAGGAGAGCGGGCGGUCGCUGCAGAAGGCGACGUUGGUGUUGGUGAGGUAGAGCGUGCCGGCGACGGGGCCCGUGGCCGUGGAGAGGUAGCAGGCGAACGUCUUCUUCACGUGCUCGUCGGGGCCGGAGCCGAAGGUCUGCUUGUAGAGCUUCUCGAAGCCGCCCCCCG
rnacentral:lncRNA from 1 species